AUCUCCUCCACCGCCAUAUGAAUACAAGUCGCCACCACCUCCUUCACCAUCACCUCCACCACCAUACUACUACUCUUCCCCACCACCUCCGAAGAAGUCACCUCCACCACCAUACUACUACUCCUCUCCACCACCACCCGAGAAGUCACCUCCUCCACCAUACUACUACUCCUCUCCUCCACCCCCGGAGAAGUCACCUCCACCACCUUACUACUACUCUUCUCCACCACCCCCCAAGAAGUCACCUCCACCUCCAUACUACUAUAGUUCUCCACCACCACCCGAGAAGUCACCUCCACCACCUUACUACUAUUCUUCUCCUCCACCACCCGAGAAGUCACCUCCACCACCAUACUACUACUACUCUCCUCCACCACCCAAGAAGUCACCUCCACCUCCAUACUACUACAGUUCUCCACCACCACCAGUUAAGUAUCCUCCUCCACCAUACUACUACCCUUCUCCACCACCACCCAAGGAAUCACCUCCUCCACCAUACUACUACUCCUCACCACCACCACCCAAGAAGUCACCCCCACCCCCAUACUACUACUCCUCUCCUCCACCACCAGUUAAAUAUCCUCCUCCACCAUACUACUACUCUUCCCCACCACCACCAGUUAAGUACCCUCCUCCACCAUAUUACUACACUUCUCCUCCACCACCUACUCCUUACUAUCCUC
rnacentral:lncRNA from 1 species